UUUAGACACACACACAACAACGCGGAAACUGCACAGCGCCUCCAACAAAGUCUCCAAACAAAUUCCCAGUCCCAUCCCCGGAACCGCUCGCUCUAUCCCUCUCGUCAGCUCCACGAUCUGCACGUCUACCAACUCGCUCACUCCCUCCCUCACCUCAACUCCACGAUCUGCUCGUCCACCAGCUCGCAGAGGAAGAUAAAUGAGGGCGUUUGACAACGGAUCCGAGGGCGCAAAGGAAGGAGAAGCAAUCGGGCCGAGUCCGUCACCGGAGAUCAAGGAGAAGACGAUUAUGUGGCGAUUGUCGCUGGGUUGCUUCGUUGUGGCAUCGAAGCUGACGGUGAGUCCACCGACGACAACAAUGCGUUGUCAUAUUCUGCUCACUGCUUCUCCCCCCUCCAGUCUCUGAUGCGCCUGAUGACGUGCCACCAGG
rnacentral:lncRNA from 7 species